UUUCCGUAGGUGAACCUGCGGAAGGAUCAUUACCGAGCGUUUGUCCCUCCGGGGCAGAUCUCCCACCCUGUGUACCCGAUCGUCGUUGCUUUGGCGGGCCCCGCGCCCGCCAGAGGUACUCAACGCUGUGAUUUUGUGUUGUCCGAGUCCAGAUGCAAAUCUAAUCAAAACUUUCAACAACGGAUCUCUUGGUUCUGGCAUCGAUGAAGAACGCAGC
rnacentral:misc_RNA from 1 species